AACGAACGCUGGCGGCAUGCCUAACACAUGCCAGUCGAACGAGACCUUCGGGUCUAGUGGCGCACGGGUGCGUAACGCGUGGGAACCUGCCCUUAGGUUCGGAAUAACUCCCCGAAAGGGGUGCUAAUACCGGAUAAUGUCUUCGGACCAAAGAUUUAUCGCCUUUGGAUGGGCCCGCGUUGGAUUAGCUAGUUGGUAGGGUAAAAGCCUACCAAGGCGACGAUCCAUAGCUGGUCUGAGAGGAUGAUCAGCCACACUGGGACUGAGACACGGCCCAGACUCCUACGGGAGGCAGCAGUGGGGAAUAUUGGACAAUGGGCGAAAGCCUGAUUCAGCAAUGCCGCGUGAGUGAUGAAGGCCUUAGGGUUGUAAAGCUCUUUUACCCGGGAUGAUAAUGACAGUACCGGGAGAAUAAGCGCCGGCUAACUCCGUG
rnacentral:rRNA from 1 species